rnacentral:rRNA from 1 species
GACGAACGCUGGCGGCGUGCUUAACACAUGCAAGUCGAGCGGAGUGGCGAACGGGUGAGUAACACGUGGGUUACCUGCCCUGCACUGCGGGAUAAGCCUGGGAAAUUGGGUCUACUACCGGUUAGUGUGGGAUGGGCUCGCGGCCUAUCAGCUUGUUGGUGGGGUAAUGGCCUACCAAGGCGACGACGGGUAGCCGGCCUGAGAGGGGGGACGGCCACAUUGGGACUGAGACACGGCCCAAACUCCUACGGGAGGCAGCAGUGGGGAAUAUUGCACAAUGGGGGGAAGCCUGAUGCAGCGACGCCGCGUGGGGGAUGACGGCCUUCGGGUUGUAAACUCCUUUCACCAUCGACGCGGUAGAUGGAGAAGAAGCACCGGCUAACUACGUGCCAGCAGCCGCGGUAAUUC